ensembl:misc_RNA Metazoa_SRP Metazoan signal recognition particle RNA
GCCGGGCAUGGUGGCGCAUGCCUGUAGUCCCAGCUACUCGGGGGGCUGAGGCAGGGGAAUUGCUUGAACCUGGGAGGCGGAGGUUGCAGUGAGCCAAGACCGUGCCACUGCAUUCCAGCCUGGGCGACAGAGCAAGACUCCGUCUCAA